rnacentral:rRNA from 1 species
CAUGUCUUUUUGAUCAUAAUUAAAAGUCUGACCUGCUCAAUGAUUUAAAUUAAAUAGCCGCGAUAAUUUGAUCGUGCAAAGGUAGCAUAAUAAUUUGUUUCUUAAUUAGGAACUGGAAUGAAGGGUUGAACGAAAAAAUAACUGUCUCAAUUUAAUUAAAAUUAGAAUUUUAUUUUUAAGUAAAAAAGCUUAAAUAUUUUUAAAAGACGAGAAGACCCUAUAGAGUUUUAUAUUGAUAUAUUUAUUUUUUAGUUUAAGAAUUUAAUUUUGAAAUUGAUAAUAAAAUAUUUAAUUGGGGUGAUUGAAAAAUUUGAUAAACUUUUUUUAUAAAUUUAACAUUAAUUUAUGAUAAAUUGAUCCAUAUAUAAUGAUUAUAAGAUUAAAUUACCUUAGGGAUAACAGCGUAAUUAUUUUUAAGAGUUCUAAUCGAAAAAAUAGAUUGCGACC